AUGAGUGUUUUUAAACUUCCUGCAUCGGCCUGUGAUGAACUAACUCGCAUGAUAUGCCAAUACUGGUGGGGAGUGGAGAAUGGCAAGAAGAAGGUGGCUUGGAUGAGUUGGCACAAACUCAGGCUACCAAAGUCCAUGGGCAUGGGGUUUCGUGACAUGAGAUCCUUUAACCAGGAAUUGCUUGCUAAACAAGCGUGGCGUUUGUUGGACACGCCUGAUAGUCUCUGUGCUCGCCUGCUAAAGGCGAAAUAUUAUCCCUCCGGACGGCUGCUCGAUACGGUGUUUUCGAGCAAUGGUUCAUCAGUGUGGAAAGGUAUAUUGCAUGGCUUGGAUUUGCUAAAGAGAGGUGUAAUUUGGAGGGUCGGGAACGGAUUUCAAAUACGUACCUGGAGGGAUCCAUGGAUUCCACGACCAUCUUCUUUUCGCCCCAUCACUCCGAAGGGCACCUAUCGCCUAAACAGGGUUGCUGAUUUCCAAGAUGAACACGGGGCUUGCCGGGUGGACCGUCUUCAAGAAUUUGUUUGGCCCAUGGACGUACGGUAUAUUACAAAGAUCAGAGCUUCGCCCCGUAUGCGGAAUGACUUCUUGUCCUGGUUUGUGGAGAAGUGUGGGAACUUUACUGUGAAGAGUGCUUACAGAUUAGCCACAUGCGAUCAUAACACAGCUUGCAGAGGUGCCUCGUCUAGCUCUGCCCCAGAAGGGUGUCGCUCGUUGUGGAACCGGAUAUGGGCCUCAAACGUUCCACAGAAGAUGAAGAUCACAGCUUGGCGAGUGGUAACGGGUACCCUAGCGACCCAACAGUGCAAGAAUUACCGUCAUUUGGCCACACGCUCACUCUGCCCUAUCUGUGGGGUAGAGGAGGAGUCUACCUUUCAUGCUUUGAUCACUUGCACUCAAGCAAGAACCUUGUGGAUCAACAUGCGUACAAGAUGGCCACGCCCGGACGAUGAUCGCCUUAUUGACACUGGGAAGGAAUGGCUAAUGAUUCUACUUGAUUCCUGUACAGAGAUGGUUCGUGACAUGGUACUUAUGCUGAUUUGGCGGAUAUGGCAGAUACGCAACGAUUGCUAUCAUGGUAAGGAAGCCCCACCCGUGCCUGCGUCGGUUGAGUUCCUGGAUAGUUACUAUAAAUCCAUCAACCUCGCGGGUAAGUUUUCAGCGGAGGAGAAUAUCAAAGGCAAGAUGUCCUCGGCGCCACAGGUGGCGACGCGCCAAAAGAUGGUUACGGCUGUUGCACCUUGGCCGCCUCCGGCGAGGGGUACGGUCGCCUUCUCUAUGGAUGGUUCGUUCAACCCACAAGAUGGAUCCGCGGCGGCACGGUGUGUUCUCCGAGACAGUGAGGGUUCAAUCUUAUUUACGGCAUACAGAUACAUCUUCCACUGCAACGAUCCACUUGAGGCAGAGCUUCAUGCAAUGAUGCAACGUAUGGCUCUUGCCAUACAGCACUCAAACUCACCGGUGGUGUUGCAAUCGGAUUCCCGGAAAGCUUUAUCCUGCCUAUCAACAAAUGCUCUACAACGGUUUGCUUAUGACCAAUUAGCCCUUGAGAUUAAAUUCUUAGCUGGUAGUAGGGAGUUUGUACCUCAGAAGAUUAGUCAUCUAUAA
rnacentral:rRNA from 1 species